GCAUAGUAGAGUUGCACUUUCUUUUUCUGCUAGUAAGAAAUCACAAACAUGUUUUACAUGUGAAAAAAAGCACAUAUUUUAAAUGCAUUUAUAUAGUUAUUUCUUGAUAAGUCUGUUCUGUUUUACCCAAAUUUUAGUGAUCACAAAGUAAAGUGUUGAGGAGUAUUCCUUGAAAUAUCAGAAGAAUCCAAAAACUAACUGAAGAAUGGAAUGGGAGGAGUCUCUGAUCUGAGGGAAUUUGUAGCUGCUCUUGGUCCUGGGGAUUGAACUCAUGACCUGCACCAUAUCUUGUAAAGACAUUCAAAAAUAAGACAUCCAGAACUGUUUCAGAAUGUGACCACGAGUGGAUAAGUGCUUUUGCGAAGAAUAUUUUGAUGCUGCCAUGAACUGCGGCCCUGCCAUGCCACACUGCUUUGGAGCCAACUGAGUAUGGACUGAAACCUCCAAAAACUGUAAGAAAUACACCUUUCCUUUCUUAACCUGGUGCAUCAGGUAUUUUGUUUCAGUGAUGAGUAAAAAGUAGCUAAGACAAUCCCUAAAACUGACCACAUUAUUUUUAGUAUUUAACACAUUCUUUAAUUUAAUGUAAUAUUUAAAAUGCUUAUGUGCCUGCCAGGUUCUUUUUUAAUCAACUGUCAAUUUUCCACAUCAGUUUUAUAGAUGAAUGAGUGAUUCUCCAUAAAUUAUAUAGCUAUCAAAGGUAAAGCCAAGACUUCUAACUACAGAUCCUUGCAAUAUUCAAAUGCAGUAUAGAGAAUUUACUUUUUAGAGAUUGUGCAUAAUGCAAACAUUUUAACUUUAAGUGUCUUCACUAAUGGUGAAACAAUAAUAACACUGGAAUUAGAUACUAAAGUAGCUGAUCUAGUUUUACAUUGAAAUUAAUUAUUUAUAGGAUCACAAUGCUUAAUUUUAUUGGCUAGAAAAGGUCAGUGACCAUCUAAUUUUUCAUAUUAUCUUGGUUAUUAGAGGAAUGUAUUUGCUCUGCACUCAGAGCUCAUUAAAGAUGUAUAAUCUAAAAUUUUGACCUUCAAUAUUUAUCCUCUGAUCCUGAGCAUAUUGUUCCUUUUGCGUUUUCUUUUCAGAAGAAGAUGAAAAAGAAUUCUUGUUCUUUAAAGAUCAGACAGCUUUUUCAAACAAAUACUAAUAUCAUUAAUAGUGAAGCAUUAGAGUGAAGUAUCAUGUGUUCAAAUUUUUGAGACCAAGUUUAACUUGGGAAGUUAAAGAGAGUCUGACAGCCCUCUUACUAUAAUUGUAGCAGGGAGUACUCAUUAUGUCUACCAAAUUUACCCCAAAUUCUUAUGUAUGAGAAGCUUUUCAAUUCAUUGGCACAAUGUGUAAAUCAUCAUUGUAGCCAACUCAUUCUUUCAGCCAAUUUAGAAUAUGUACAGGGUAACAUAUAUUUUUCUAAGCUCCAAAGUUACAGCAUACUUUUAAUUCAGAGACAUAGCCCCUGUGUUAAUGUUGGAAGAUGCACUGACCAGACAGUUUUAAAUAAUAUAAAAAUGAAAUUGUGUGACAAAUUGAAUGUACAAGUUGUUGCAUAAGUGAAAAAAUACAAAAGCAACAAAAGUUCUGAGUAUUUACUCACAUCUUUUUCCAUGAUACAAAGAUAUUAUUGCAGUCAACUUACAUCAGAAGCAAAAUUAGUUGAGUAAGAUAACAUAGGCCGGGGACUGGGGAUUUAGCUCAGCGGCAUAAGCGCCUGCCUUGCAAGCAGGCAGUCGUGAGUUCGAUCCCUGGUACCGAUAAAAAUGAAAAAGACCAAAAAAAAAAAAAAAAAAAAGAUAACAUAGGCCAAAUACAAAUGUCCUUGUUCAGGCUGAUGCUGUACUGAGGAGAGGCUUGUAUCUAUCCUCUCAACACACUAAUAUCACUUCCUUUGGAUGCUGAUUAGAAGUGGGACUCCUGGAUCACAUAAUAGUUCUAUUUUAAGUAAUUUCUAUGAAAUUCCAUAUUGUUUCUAUGAUGGUUACACGACUCACAUAAUUUAAAUUGCCACCAACAGGAUGUAAGUAUUCCUUUUCUCCCACACUUGCUUUUUUCUUUUUGAUAACAGGCAUCCUAGCAGGAAGGAGGGGAUAUUUCACUGAGGAUUUUAUUUACCUUUUCUAGAUAACUGGUGCUGGUAACUGUUUUUUUCACAUACAUGUUGGUAACAUUUAUGCCUUCUUUUGAGAAAUAUCUAUUUCAAUUUUUAUGCAUUUAGAGUGGACUCCUUUCUUGCUGUAGAUUUAUUUGAAUUUCUCACAUAUUUUGGAUUUCAACUUCUUGUCUAUGUGUGCUUGAAAAUAUUUUACCCCUUAUCCUAGAAUAUCUUAUCAUUCUAUUGAUUGUGUCUUUUUCUGUGCAGAAGCUAUUUAGUUUGAUGCAAUACCAUUUGUCUAAUUUUGUUUUUGUGGCCUAUGCUUUUGGUACCACAUAAAAAAUUUACAUCAGAUUUGUCUCUCCUGUGAGAACAGAGAAAGCCUGGGAAACACAGAUGCAAUAAAGAAAAAUGUGCUUGUGAAAGAAUCCAAGAGAUAGCUUGUGAAAAGAUGAGGAAAAUUGGUGAGCACUUGCUAUUUCAGUCAAAUCUAAAAGUUUUAAGCAACAGCUUCUACUAAUUUUUGUUGUUGUUUCUACAGUUGUUUGAGCAAAUAGAAAUAACCAGUAACUCUCCCUACAUUAGCAUAAAACAUAUCUGACACUGAUGUAAGAAAAGCAAGAUGAUUUCGUUAGCAGUUUUAUUCAGACAUCUCUCAUCAGACUUUCUGCUCAGGUUGCCAUAAGACAGCACCACAGGCUGGUGUCUCAAGCCACUGAAAUGUAUUUUAUGACAUUUUUGGAGACAGGAAAACUAAGUCAAAAUGCCAACGCAGCCUGUUUCUGGAGCAGCCUUCCUUCUGGAUGUGGAUGUGUGGAGGGCUAUGUCUUUGCUGUGUCCUCGCAUGGCUUUCCCUCUGUGCAAAUCCACUAAUGUCUCUUUUUGUUCUUUUUUGUAUUUAUUAGUCCAAUUUUAAUUUUUAUUAUUUUGAAGGUAGCAAAAUACAACCGAACAAGACAGAGCAAAGCCAACUGAGACAGUGCAGUGAAACUGGUACAGAAAAUCACAGCAGGUUACUGGGAUAACAGUAAUAGGUACCAUACUAUAUCUCACUAUCUUCACAAUAGUUGUCCAUUCCAUCAGGUAUAGAAAAAUCAAACCAAAUACAGAACAUUAUAGAACUUACCAAAACAGAAUAUUGACUAGAGCAAUAUAAUUAAUCAGAACAAAGCAAAACAGUGAUAACAAUAUUUGCCUUCAAAGAGAUGGUAAAAGGAAAUCCCCUCUAUUUGCUAUAUUGCAUAUGGUCAAGCUCCUUACCAAAUAGGAGCCAGAGUUCUUUUUGUUCUCAUAAGAACAUGAAUUCUGUGAUCUCCAAACUCUAUCCUUAUGGUUUAGUUUCACAUUACUUCCUUGAAGAACUUAUUUGCAAGUGUAGUUCCUUUUUUAACAGAAAUUUAGGGAUGUAACGUAGUACAUAAUUGACAUUGAGUUCAGGAGACAUGGAGAAAUAAAGAGAUGAGAAACAGAGAUUUCUGUGGAGUCAGUCACAUAUAUAAGGGACUAUUACAGAAGACUUGAAGAGGGACAUGAUUACUUUUAUAAAAUCAGGGCAGAAUCUACAGGGAAAAGAGGCUGCAGGGCCCUAAGGAAUGAUACUGUGAGGAGUGAAGUUUUGACAUAGAGCUUUAAACAGAAGUAAGGCUCUGGUGGGACUGGAGAUGAAAGUCUUCAAAUUCAUAUGACAGUUUUGUAGGGGGCUGAAGUAUAAUUUUUAGGAAAAUAAGUCUGGUAUAAAAUGAAAAGCUUUUCUGCUGGGAAUAUAUAGACAGCUGUUACUUGCUUCAUAGAUAAGGAGAAAAGAUUGGAAGACAAAUUGGAAAAAUUAUGAAGGAAAUGAAUUUAAAACAGCAAUAGAUGAAGAAAUAAAUGCUAGAAGAUUAUCACACAGAACAAAAAUCAAAAAUAGACACUGUACAUUAGAUGAAUUACAUGUUAUUAUAAAUAGAAUUUUAUCUCUGAAACAUUUUGCCUCACUGUGCUUAAGAAAAAAUGAUCUCAUAAUGUACCAUACAGCAUUCUAGUUCCAGACAUUAUUUGAAUUGUCACACAAUUAAUUUAUACCAUAAAUAUUGGCAAUUAUUUAUAGAUAAAUUAUCUAAAAUAUGCUACUUUUGAUUAAGGAAAUCAAUUCAAUUUCUCUUCAUUAUU